GUCUACAGCCAUGCCACCCUGAACAUGCCCGAUAUCUUCUGAUCUUGGAAGCUAAGCAGGGUCGGGCCUGGUUAGUACUUGGAUGGGAGACCACCUAGGAAUGCCAGGUGCUGUAGGCA
rnacentral:rRNA from 1 species